GAUGAAGAACGCAGCGAAAUGCGAUACUUGGUGUGAAUUGCAGAAUCCCGUGAACCAUCGAGUCUUUGAACGCAAGUUGCGCCCGAAGCCAUUAGGCCGAGGGCACGCCUGCCUGGGCGUCACACGUCGUUGCCCCCCCAUCUACUCCUUCGGGAUUGCGGGGGGCGGAUGAUGGCCUCCCGUGCGCCUCGCCGCGCGGUUGGCAUAAAUGCCAAGUCCUCGGCGACGCACGCCACGACAAUCGGUGGUUGCGAAACCUCGGUUGCCCGUCGUGUGCGGUCGUCGCGCAUCGAGGGCUCGAAAAAAUUGCCGGGCUCCGGCUCGGCUUCCAACGCGACCCCAGGUCAGGCGGGGUUACCCGCUGAAUUUAAGCAUAUCAAUAAGCGGAGGA
rnacentral:misc_RNA from 1 species